GAGAAAGAAACAAAAGAGCAUGAGGAAAGAGCAAAGCCCCUAAUCCAAAGACUGCCAAUAAAUAAGCAUUCACUUUAAGUCCCAAAUUCCUAUCAACAGCCAUUCUUUCAAUCUUUCUCUUUUUCUUCUUCUGUUUCUCUUUCUCUUUCUCUUUC
rnacentral:ribozyme from 13 species